AAGUGGAGCAAUCCAUGAGUACAGUGGCGUACGGGUGAGUAACACGUGGGUGAUCUACCUUUUAGUGGGGAAUAACCCUGGGAAACCGGGGCUAAUACCGCAUAAGCCCGAGAGGGGAAAGUCGCAAGACGCUGAAAGAGGAGCCCGCGGCCGAUUAGCUAGUUGGUAGGGUAAGAGCCUACCAAGGCAGAGAUCGGUAGCCGGCCUGAGAGGGCACACGGCCACACUGGCACUGAAACACGGGCCAGACUCCUACGGGAGGCAGCAGUGGGGAAUCUUGCACAAUGGGGGCAACCCUGAUGCAGCGACGCCGCGUGAGCGAUGAAGCCCUUCGGGGUGUAAAGCUCUUUCGGCAGGGAAGAUGAUGACGGUACCUGCAGAAGCAGCUGCGGCUAACUACGUGCCAGCAGCCGCGGUAAUACGUAGGCAGCGAGCGUUGUUCGGAGUUACUGGGCGUAAAGGGUGUGUAGGCGGUUCUUUAAGUUUGGUGUGAAAUCUCCCGGCUCAACCGGGAGGGUGCGCCGAAAACUGAGGGACUAGAGUACGGGAGAGGAAAGUGGAAUUCCUGGUGUAGCGGUGAAAUGCGUAGAUAUCAGGAGGAACACCGGUGGGUGUAGACGGCUUUCUGGACCGUAACUGACGCUGAGACACGAAAGCGUGGGUAGCAAACAGGAUUAGAUACCCUGGUAGUCCACGCCCUAAACGAUGCAUAUUUGGUGUGGGCAGUUCAUUCUGUCCGUGCCGGAGCUAACGCGUUAAAUAUGCCGCCUGGGGAGUACAGUCG
rnacentral:rRNA from 1 species